GAGGGUAUAGCUCAGGGGUAGAGUGCUUGCUUAGCAUGCAUGAGGUCCUGGGUUCAAUCCCCAGUACUGCCA
rnacentral:tRNA from 1 species